UACGGAGGGGGCUAGCGUUGUUCGGAAUUACUGGGCGUAAAGCGCACGUAGGUGGCUUUGUAAGUUAGAGGUGAAAGCCCGGGGCUCAACUCCGGAAUUGCCUUUAAGACUGCAUCGCUAGAACGUCGGAGAGGUAAGUGGAAUUCCGAGUGUAGAGGUGAAAUUCGUAGAUAUUCGGAAGAACACCAGUGGCGAAGGCGGCUUCCUGGUCCAGCACCGACGUUCAGGCACGAAGCGUGGGGAGCAAACAGG
rnacentral:rRNA from 1 species